rnacentral:tRNA from 1 species
GCACUAGUAGCUCAAAUGUCAGAGCGUCGGUCUUGUAAGCCGGAUGCGAAGGUUAAAAUCCUUCCUUAUGCU